CGUUAAGCUUAAAAAGCUCACUCGAGCGCCUUUAUGUUUCUUUCUUACCAAUUUUAAGCCAACUGAGGAACACCCUUAUCCCAAGCAAUGGUUCGACUACGAUGUUCCGGUAACUUUAAACCACGCCGGGUGUUGAAAAGGUGGCCAGUUUCAGAUGCAUUGAUGUGUAGUGAUGCAGUGGACAACUGUGAGGAUGAUACAAUCAACAUGUUCCUAAACUGUGAUGCAGAAACACAAUGGGAGGAUCCAUCCGUCUCUGACCACAACUACACUUUAAAAUCACAACUCAACCUGAAGCAACCUACAUCUGAUAUGGGAAAACAAUGGUGCAGUUUCCCUGACAGGGCUUAUCCUGGUCCCAGGCUAAAAUGCAUAUUU